rnacentral:rRNA from 1 species
UUAAGCGACUAAGCGUACACGGUGGAUGCCCUGGCAGUCAGAGGCGAUGAAGGACGUGCUAAUCUGCGAUAAGCGCCGGUAAGGUGAUAUGAACCGUUAUAACCGGCGAUUUCCGAAUGGGGAAACCCAGUGUGAUUCGUCACACUAUCAUUAACUGAAUCCAUAGGUUAAUGAGGCGAACCGGGGGAACUGAAACAUCUAAGUACCCCGAGGAAAAGAAAUCAACCGAGAUUCCCCCAGUAGCGGCGAGCGAACGGGGAGGAGCCCAGAGCCUGAAUCAGCAUGUGUGUUAGUGGAAGCGUCUGGAAAGGCGCGCGAUACAGGGUGACAGCCCCGUACACAAAAGCGCAUGUGCUGUGAGCUCGAUGAGUAGGGCGGGACACGUGGUAUCCUGUCUGAAUAUGGGGGGACCAUCCUCCAAGGCUAAAUACUCCUGACUGACCGAUAGUGAACCAGUACCGUGAGGGAAAGGCGAAAAGAACCCCGGCGAGGGGAGUGAAAAAGAACCUGAAACCGUGUACGUACAAGCAGUGGGAGCACAGGUUUACCUGUGUGACUGCGUACCUUUUGUAUAAUGGGUCAGCGACUUAUAUUCUGUAGCAAGGUUAACCGUAUAGGGGAGCCGGAGGGAAACCGAGUCUUAAUUGGGCGUUAAGUUGCAGGGUAUAGACCCGAAACCCGGUGAUCUAGCCAUGGGCAGGUUGAAGGUUGGGUAACACUAACUGGAGGACCGAACCGACUAAUGUUGAAAAAUUAGCGGAUGACCUGUGGCUGGGGGUGAAAGGCCAAUCAAACCGGGAGAUAGCUGGUUCUCCCCGAAAGCUAUUUAGGUAGCGCCUCGUGAAUUCAUCUCCGGGGGUAGAGCACUGUUUCGGCUAGGGGGCCAUCCCGGCUUACCAACCCGAUGCAAACUGCGAAUACCGGAGAAUGUUAUCACGGGAGACACACGGCGGGUGCUAACGUCCGUCGUGAAGAGGGAAACAACCCAGACCGCCAGCUAAGGUCCCAAAGUCAUGGUUAAGUGGGAAACGAUGUGGGAAGGCCCAGACAGCCAGGAUGUUGGCUUAGAAGCAGCCAUCAUUUAAAGAAAGCGUAAUAGCUCACUGGUCGAGUCGGCCUGCGCGGAAGAUGUAACGGGGCUAAACCAUGCACCGAAGCUGCGGCAGCGACGUUUAUGCGUUGUUGGGUAGGGGAGCGUUCUGUAAGCCUGCGAAGGUGGCCUGUGAGGGUUGCUGGAGGUAUCAGAAGUGCGAAUGCUGACAUAAGUAACGAUAAAGCGGGUGAAAAGCCCGCUCGCCGGAAGACCAAGGGUUCCUGUCCAACGUUAAUCGGGGCAGGGUGAGUCGACCCCUAAGGCGAGGCCGAAAGGCGUAGUCGAUGGGAAACAGGUUAAUAUUCCUGUACUUGGUGUUACUGCGAAGGGGGGACGGAGAAGGCUAUGUUGGCCGGGCGACGGUUGUCCCGGUUUAAGCGUGUAGGUGUGUGUUCCAGGUAAAUCCGGUUCACUUUAACACUGAGGCGUGACGACGAGGCACUACGGUGCUGAAGCAACAAAUGCCCUGCUUCCAGGAAAAGCCUCUAAGCAUCAGGUAACAUCAAAUCGUACCCCAAACCGACACAGGUGGUCAGGUAGAGAAUACCAAGGCGCUUGAGAGAACUCGGGUGAAGGAACUAGGCAAAAUGGUGCCGUAACUUCGGGAGAAGGCACGCUGACACGUAGGUGAAGUGAUUUACUCAUGGAGCUGAAGUCAGUCGAAGAUACCAGCUGGCUGCAACUGUUUAUUAAAAACACAGCACUGUGCAAACACGAAAGUGGACGUAUACGGUGUGACGCCUGCCCGGUGCCGGAAGGUUAAUUGAUGGGGUCAGCGCAAGCGAAGCUCCUGAUCGAAGCCCCGGUAAACGGCGGCCGUAACUAUAACGGUCCUAAGGUAGCGAAAUUCCUUGUCGGGUAAGUUCCGACCUGCACGAAUGGCGUAAUGAUGGCCAGGCUGUCUCCACCCGAGACUCAGUGAAAUUGAACUCGCUGUGAAGAUGCAGUGUACCCGCGGCAAGACGGAAAGACCCCGUGAACCUUUACUAUAGCUUGACACUGAACAUUGAGCCUUGAUGUGUAGGAUAGGUGGGAGGCUUUGAAGUGUGGACGCCAGUCUGCAUGGAGCCGGCCUUGAAAUACCACCCUUUAAUGUUUGAUGUUCUAACGUGGACCCGUAAUCCGGGUUGCGGACAGUGUCUGGUGGGUAGUUUGACUGGGGCGGUCUCCUCCUAAAGAGUAACGGAGGAGCACGAAGGUUGGCUAAUCCUGGUCGGACAUCAGGAGGUUAGUGCAAUGGCAUAAGCCAGCUUGACUGCGAGCGUGACGGCGCGAGCAGGUGCGAAAGCAGGUCAUAGUGAUCCGGUGGUUCUGAAUGGAAGGGCCAUCGCUCAACGGAUAAAAGGUACUCCGGGGAUAACAGGCUGAUACCGCCCAAGAGUUCAUAUCGACGGCGGUGUUUGGCACCUCGAUGUCGGCUCAUCACAUCCUGGGGCUGAAGUAGGUCCCAAGGGUAUGGCUGUUCGCCAUUUAAAGUGGUACGCGAGCUGGGUUUAGAACGUCGUGAGACAGUUCGGUCCCUAUCUGCCGUGGGCGCUGGAGAACUGAGGGGGGCUGCUCCUAGUACGAGAGGACCGGAGUGGACGCAUCACUGGUGUUCGGGUUGUCAUGCCAAUGGCACUGCCCGGUAGCUAAAUGCGGAAGAGAUAAGUGCUGAAAGCAUCUAAGCACGAAACUUGCCCCGAGAUGAGUUCUCCCUGAGACUUAGAGUCUCCUGAAGGAACGUUGAAGACGACGACGUUGAUAGGCCGGGUGUGUAAGCGCAGCGAUGCGUUGAGCUAACCGGUACUAAUGAACCGUGAGGCUUAACCU